ensembl:lncRNA
UGUGUGUGUACACCAGCGAAAACAAUGAAACUGCAGUGCAAAUAAGAACGGCUGUAUCACCUCAGGGGCAAUGUCCAUCCCUCCUCGUGUCCCGCAGCUCCCACCAGUGGCUGCAGCACUGGGCCACAUCCCAGCGUUGUGUCGGCAGCGGAACCGGAGCUCAGCGCGUGAAGGCCCAACCGCGUGUGAGAGGACCUGGAAAACAAGUUCAGCCCUGCUAUCUGCGCCUGGCAUGUGAGAAUGAAAACUGAGGCUCGUUUGGAGCAAAGGGCUCCCUGCGGCCGCUGACAGCACAGGGUUUGGAGGCAGCUUUGCAGGACAUCCCGGGACCAGCGCGGCGCAGCUGGAAGUACCAGCUGGCUGGAAAGCACUCAGCCAUGGCCCACUGAGGAACUGAAAGGUGGGAGUGCUUACCAUAAUUCUCAUUCUCAAUGUGGUUUAGUUGUUAUUCCACCUACGUUAUUUACGUGUGUGCGAUGGCCGGUUUAUCAGGGAUUUAUUUAUGAGGAGCAAACUGACACGGUCGCUGUCUCGGAGGGCUGCAGGAUAAUACGUCUCAAGCACCCAGCAUUAGGUAACACUUUAGAGAGCUGUUCUUUCCAUGCUGAUGGCACAGGACAUUAUUGGCACAUCCCGCCUGCUUCGUGUGACUGUAAGACCAGCUUCCCAAGGCCUGCAGCGCAGACAGACAGAGGUGUGGCAAGCUCUAGCUGAUGUGGUGUGUUCUUCUUCAUUGUCCUUCACUGCAGAACCGCAUAUCUGAAAUCCAGUCCAUUUCAGGAGUUACACCAGUGUGAAUAAUAGAGGUAAUGUACCUUGGGAAUCAGAGAAUUGGGCCUUGACCUCUUGGCUUGGGUUAUAUCAAGGAUGGACUCAUAUGCUAAGGCACCUCAGUCUUGGCAGUUAAACAGGAUUUACGUGCACAAAGUCAAACUGGCAAACAUGAAUUAGAACCCAAAAUACAAAAACUGGAACAGAGUGCCAAAAUACAUAAAUAACUGAAAAUCAAACUGAUACAGAUCCCAUCAGCUUUCCCUCUACAUUUUGGACCUCAGUAUCAUUGUGAUUCCUAUCCUGAUAAUCCUUUUAACUCUGCCUUGUUUGAAUACUUCAGAAGUGGUUGGUCAAAUAGCCGUUACGUUGCUCAUUGCAGCACAGCAGUACUCACCUUUGUAGAAAUGCCUGAAAAUCCCAGCCAACCAUCCUCUGGUGCCCUUCUCACCUCAGACAUAUUUGGAAUCCCCUCUCUUUCCCAGGUUGAGUGUCACAGUCAUCAUUUGGUCCUUCAUGACUGCAGAAGCUGUGGCUGUGAUCUAGUUUGCUUUGAGUGCUUGUAUUGAAUGUUCUUUGCUGAGCUUCAUUCGCCUUCCUCUGCAUUCUAGUCUGUUCAAGUAGACCUUUACAAGGACAAACAUGCCAAAUCACACAAGACUAAAUUGUCUGCAGCAUUCCUUUGUGAUAUGAUAAAUUUUCAGCAGAAUAGCAGAAAUUGAGCAGAAAUGCAUAAGGAAAUCCCAUGUAGAAAUGAUAGAAAUGAAUUCAAAACCUUUUAUUCAGCAUAAUUUGGACAAGACAUAAUAGAGUCCACAGUUACACGUGAGAAGCAAUAAGUGAGAAGUAUAUAACUGGUAAAAUAGCACUCAAUUAAUUUACAUUUUCUGUUGCAUCUUUAUGGUGAAUCUCAGCUGUGUGUUAAUGGUUCUCAUAAGAAUCU